rnacentral:rRNA from 1 species
AGAGACAGCAGUCGCCACGGGAAUACGGAGGGGGCUAGCGUUGUUCGGAAUUACUGGGCGUAAAGCGCACGUAGGCGGCGAUCUAAGUCAGGGGUGAAAGCCCGGGGCUCAACCCCGGAAUAGUCUUUGAGACUGGAUUGCUAGAAUCUGGGAGAGGUGAGUGGAAUUCCGAGUGUAGAGGUGAAAUUCGUAGAUAUUCGGAAGAACACCAGUGGCGAAGGUGGCUCACUGGACCAGUAUUGACGCUGAGGUGCGAAAGCGUGGGGAGCAAACAGGAUUAGAUACCCGUGUAGUCCCUGUCUCUUAUAC